rnacentral:rRNA from 1 species
GUGGUGUGGACGUUUAUUGGGCCUAAAGCAUCCGUAGCUGGCUGAACAAGUCCCCUGUUAAACCCACCGAUUUAAUCGUUGGUCUGCGGGGGAUACUGCUCGGCUAGGGGACGAGAGAGGCAGACGGUAUUCCCGGGGUAGGGGUGAAAUCCUAUAAUCCCGGGAAGACCACCAGUGGCGAAGGCUGUCGGCUAGA